CACGUAGGGGGCAAGCGUUGUCCGGAUUUAUUGGGCGUAAAGAGCUCGUAGGCGGCUUAGUAAGUCGGGUGUGAAACCUCCAGGCUCAACCUGGAGACGCCACCCGAUACUGCUGUGGCUAGAGUCCGGUAGGGGAGCGUGGAAUUCCUGGUGUAGCGGUGAAAUGCGCAGAUAUCGGGAAGAACACCCGUGGCGAAGGCGGCUCUCUGGGACGGUACUGACGCUGAGACGCGAAAGCGUGGGGAGCGAACAGG
rnacentral:rRNA from 1 species